UACGUAGGGUGCAAGCGUUGUCCGGAAUUAUUGGGCGUAAAGAGCUCGUAGGCGGUUUGUCACGUCUGCUGUGAAAACUCGGGGCUUAACUCCGGGCCUGCAGUGGGUACGGGCAGACUAGAGUGCGGUAGGGGUGACUGGAAUUCCUGGUGUAGCGGUGGAAUGCGCAGAUAUCAGGAGGAACACCGAUGGCGAAGGCAGGUCACUGGGCCGCAACUGACGCUGAGACGCGAAAGCGUGGGGAGCGAACAGG
rnacentral:rRNA from 1 species